rnacentral:sRNA from 1 species
UAAAGUUCAGCUGUUCCUCCCAAAACGUUGUCAUCUGAUUCCGCUUCUAAAGACGAACCCUCUUGUUAUCCCCAUCAGUAAUAUUUCUGCCAGCAGUCACGUUAUGCCGUACGGCACAUUAUUUAAAGUUAAAAGGUAAGUCUGAUGUCCAAGAAAAUGGGUCAAGUUAAAUGGUUCAACGAAAGCAAAGGUUUUGGUUUUAUUGAACAGCAGGAUGGCGGCAAAGACGUGUUCGUUCACUUCUCCGCUAUCGCCUCUGAAGGGUUUAAAACCCUGGCUGAAGGCCAGCGUGUAGAGUACACCAUUCAGGACAGCCCGCGCGGUCCGGCUGCGGCAAACGUUGUUGCUCUCUGAG